GGGUGCUAGAAUUGGCUUCUCCCUCAUGCAAAUAAAGCAUUUGGGGUGGUUGUCCUGUCAGAAACUCACUGGACCUGGCGUCAGAAUUAAACUGUCCUAUUGAAGCCUCUGUUACUUUUGUGCUACAUGCAAAUGAAGAAUUGAAGAUAUCACUUUCUGAUUGGCUGUGUGUACAAUGCUCAGAAAUUGUAGCAUCAUCUUGGAUUCUGUGUUCUGCACAGCUUUUGGUGUUUCGGAUCCUCAUGAAGUCUACUGGCAAUAAUUGGAGUCAAAUCUCAGAAGCCUCUUGGGAGAGUUUCACCAGAGUUCACAUUAGGGCCUUAAUAUCCAGGCAGACUGUACCAGCUUUCCAGGCAGGGCUGAAUAAUGAAAGCAGAAGCAGCCAAAAGCAAUGA
rnacentral:lncRNA from 1 species